UUCAACCCUCGACCAAAAUAGAAAUCCAAAAUCCCGCCUUCACUCCUUCUUCUACCCGAGCAUUCUUCUAUUUGGAUUUUGGAGAGAGAAAUCGUUGUUAAUUUCAUGAAAUUAGGGCCGAAUUCGUUUGUUGAAGAGGAGGAAAAAGGAAAAUCUAUUUUUUUUAGUUUCAUUUUACAAGCCCUAAAAAAACCAUAGUUUUGGAAAUUAGGGCAAAUGGUUUCAAAUUUCCUUGCUGUUUUGCGACAUAGGUUUUGUAAUCUAAGGGUUUCGUGUUGCAGGGGUGGUGUGUUUUUCUCAGGAGCAUGCCGAAUUUUACUCUCAAAUGAUUAUCCGUGGGGGUCUACGGUCGUCUAUUGAACCAGACUCAAAUACUGUUUGAACUAAACUGGGAGUAAUGCAACAUUUAUGUAGUGGCUUUUUUCCGAGUUGUGAUGAACUUGUGGAACAUGGAGCUUCUGUUGGAGAAACACCUGCAGCUGUGGUCAGGAAGUGCAAGUAUACGACUGCAAUGUUGUCUGAUCCCUCAGCCGCCAUUUUGGUUGCUUUUGAUAAAGCUCGGGUCCUUGAGGAAAUCUGCAAUGGGAAAGGCUAUAUUGAUAUGUCAACUGUCGAUGCAGAUACAUCCGUAAAGAUCAGUGAGGGUCUAGAUAACUUGUGCGCCUGGAAAAUUCAAGUUGAUUAGCAGUAUGGUAGUAUCUGAUAAGAUUUUACGAGCAAGAUAGCCAAGAAAUCAAAGCAUGAUGAAAAAGAAGCAAAGAAACUGCAGGACAAUGUACACUCUUUGCAGCUAAGACUUUCUGCCAGAGAGCAUAUAUGCAGAAAUCUCCAAAAGAAGAAAAUGGCCGAAGCAAUCAUUUUGCCUACUGCAAAACUUGUUCUUGGAAAGAUUGCUUCCGGCCCAAGUGAUCUAUAUGUUACUGAAGAGAUAAAAGGUGCAAAGUCAGUUAAGAAAGACCUCAAGAUCAUAGCCGACAAGAUGGAGGCCAUUUGCGCUGUUCUGGAAGAUGAAGAGGAGGAGUUUACCAGUAAGGCUAACAAAAUUUGGCUACGAGAUCUCAAGAGUAUUGUUUAUGAUAUUGAUGAUCUCUUGGAUGAAGUUGCUUUUGAUGCUUUGGAGCGCAGAGUUAAUUAAGGCUACUUUGGCCGUCAGCUCAGGUACUAUCUUUCCUCUUCGAAUCCUCUCAUUUCAAGCUUCGAUUUGAGUCACAAAAUAAAAAGCCUUUUUAUAAAGAUAGAGAUCAUCAAUCUAUUUAUGCAUAUUUAAAGCUCAUUGGAUAGUUAUAGGUCAUAUUUAGAGCUAAAAUGACAUUUACGUCCCAACUUUGAACUUAAAAACCUAAGGACUCAUUUUAUUCUUAUUACAUGAUUAUUAUGCAUAUUUUUGACUUUUUAAAAUAUAUUUCAAUCUAUGUAUGCACAUUUAAGGCUCAUUGGGUCGUUAUAAGUCAUAUUUAGAGUUAAAAUGACAUUUACGCUCCCAAAAUUGAACUAAAUAACCUAAGGACUCAUUUUAUUUUUAUUACAUGAUUAAUAUGCAUAGUUUUAACUUUCUAAAACUCAUUCCAAUCUAUGUAUACACAUUUAAGGCUCAUUGGGUCGUUAUAGGUCAUAUUUAGAGCUAAAACAACAUUUUCGCUCCCAACUUUGAACUAAAGAUCCUAAGGAGUCAUUUUAUUCUUAUUCCAUGAUUAAUAUGCAUAGUUUUAACUUUAUAAAACUCAUUCCAAUCUAUGUAAGGACAUUUAAGGAUAAUUGGGUCGUUAUAGAUCAUAUUUAGAGCUAAAAUGACAUUUCUGAAGGAAAUAAUGCCCUUGGUCCAAGUAUGCAUUUAAUGUUAAGUCUAAUAAAUGCGGUUCAGUAUUAAUUAACAAGUUAAUAAUUCAGUGAGAUCAAGUGAGCUGAAUGCCUAACUAGAGGCCGCUUCAGUUCAAGUGGAAUUAAUGAUAUUAAUCCACAGCUUACUCUUGACUGAACCCGUAGGGUCACACAAAUAGUACGUAAACGGAUCAAGUAUUUAAUGGCAUUAAAUACUCCAUCUAUGGAUAUUCGGAAUCGACGGAUCUUGGUUUCAGUGGGAGCUGAGAUCGUCAAAGGCAAGCAAGUGAAUACUCCGGAAACGAUGAUAUUGCCGGAAACGGAAAUAUGGAUCGUAUCGGAAAUAUAAAUAUUAUCCAAGUCGUAGAUGUUGCCGGAAACGGAAACAUGGUACGUAUCGAAAAAUAUUAUUGGAAAUGGAAAUAUUGCCGGAAUCGGAAAUAUUGCCGGAAAUGGAAAUAUUGUCAGAAUCGGAAAUAUUAUCGAAAUCGGAAAAUAAUUCCGGAAACGGAAAUAAUAAAUAUUUGUUCGAAACGGAAAUUAAUUCCGGAAUCGGAAAUAUUAAAUAUUGUUCGUAUCGGAAAUGAAUUCCGGAAUCGAGAAUUUAAUCGGAAAGCGUAUCGUACGAAUUAGCAUCAGACGAGGCCUGCCAGACGAAGGCCCAGCACGAAGCCGGGCCAUCGCCCAGCAAGCCAAAGCGCAAACACACGCCAAAGCCUCGACCAGGCCCAGUGCGAAGGCCCAUGCCCAGCUAAGGACUUGGGCGCGAGCGGAUCAAAGGCAGCGGCGAGCUGGGCCUUGCGCUGUGCGUGGGCCGUAAGGCCUGCGUGCUGUGCUUGUGCGCCAAACGUAUGUGUUACUCGAAUCCUAAGGCUACCGGGAUUCUUCAUAUGAUUAAAUCUAAUCCUAAUAGAUAAAGACUAUUUAAUUAGAGUCCUAGCAGGAUUAUAAUUAAAUAAAUUUGUAUUCUAAUAGGAUUAUAAUUCCUUUCCAUAAACUCUAUAAAUAGGUGCCUAGGGUCACAUAUUUACACACACAAUUGAAGUAUUCAAAGGUAAGAUUUUGGAACAAGAUCAGCCAAACACUUGCAACCAUUUAGCCGAAAAUCCUAGGAACCUUAAGGGCGAUUCUAGUUGGUCAAGCUUAAGGCGGAUCCGGACGUGCUGUGGACUAUCUACGGAGAGACGACACUUGGAGUCCUAAAGGCUUAUUCUUGUUCGGUUCGGGCGCAGCUAGGGAGGGCACGCUACAAAGUGUAUGCAUCUGAAUUAUGCUAAAUGAUUAUGUGUAAAUAAUAUGUUUCCUGGCAUUAAGGUUUUCCGCAUGAUUUAUGUUUUGUCAUAUGUAUCAUAACCUAACAAUUUCCGCUCCCAACUUUAAACUAAAGAACCUAAGGACUCGUUUUAUUCUUAUUACAUGAUUAAUAUGCAUAGUUUUAACUUUCUAAAACUCAUUACAAUAUAUGUAUACACAUUUAAGGCUCAUUGGGUCUUUAUAGGUCAUAUUUAGAGCUAAAACGACAUUUCCGCUCCCAACUUUGAACUAAAGAACGUAGGACUAUUUGAUUCUUAUUACAUGAUUAAUAUGCAUAGUUUUAACUUUCUAAAACUCAUUCCAAUCUAUUCAUGCACAUUUAAGGCUGAUUAGAUCGUUAUAGGUCAUAUUUAGAGCUAACAUGACAUUUACGCUCCCAACUUUGAACUAAAGAACCUAAGGACUCAUUUUGUUCUUAUUACGUGAUUAAUAUGAAUAGUUUUUAACUUUAUAAAACUCAUUCACUAGUAGAAAAAACCCUUAUUGCAGCGGGCUUUUAGACCCCUGUUGCAGCGUACAUCGUAUGCUGCAACUGGGGGGCCUGUAACAAGUCUAGACUUGUUGCAGCGUACAAUGUUCGCUGAAAAGUACUUUUUCGCAGCGUACAUAUGCAUGUACGCUGCAACAAGUGUCAAAAAUUUGGCCAAAAUCUUGACUUGUUGCAGCGUACAAAUUCAUGUACGCUGUAAAAGACCCCACCUGUUGCAGGGUACAUCUAUUUGUACGCUGCAACAAGUUUGAAAUUUUGCCAAAUUUUACACCCUUGUUGCAGCGUAAACAUAUAUAUGUACGCUGCAACAAAGCACUUUUGGCGGGAAAAUUUUAGUUUUGUUUAGGGAUACCUAGAGUGCCUUGCACUAAAUAUAGAAACCUGUCACAACAAUAAUAGAAUAUCGCAACCUGUAUAACAAAUAUAAAACAAUAACUGUUGUUUUGUAUACAUCCCAAAACCAAAGUGCACGUACCACCUACAUUUAAAUAUAUGUACUUUCCAAUUUCAACAUACAGAUACAUUUUAAUAUAAAAGAUUGUUCUAUAACAUCUAAACCAACUCGAUCAAGCGCGCUUAGACAAAUAAUAAAUACUUCCUAGCUGGUAAAAAACUUAGCCCAUUGCUCACGAACACAUCAAUUUCCUCACUAGCAUAAGGCGCAUUCCUCGGAGUAUAGACCUUCACAAAAACAGAAAUUUCAAUUAAACAAAAGAUUAAAUUAAAUGCAAAUUAAACAAUGACCAAUAACGACCCAAUGAGCCUUAAAUGUGCAUAAAUAGAUUGGAAUGCGUUUUAAAAACUUAAAACUAAGCAUAUGAAUCUUGUAAUGAAUUUUAAAUGAGUUCUUAGGUUCGUUAGUUCAAAGUUGGGAGCAAGAAUAUCAUUUUAGCAUAAAUAUGACCUAUAACGGCCCAAUGAGCCUUAAAUGUGCAUAAAUAGAUUGGAAUGAGUCUUGAAAAGUUAAAACUAAGCAUAUUAAUCAUGUAAUAGGUUUAAAAUGAGUCCUUAGUUCUUUAGUUCAAAGUUGGGAGCAAAAAUGCCUCAUUUUAGCCUAAAUAUGACCUAUAACGACCAAACAAGUCUCAAAUGUACAUAAAUAGAUUUGAUUGAGUCUUGAAAACUUAAAAUUUAUCAUAUUAAUCAUGUAAUAAGUUGUAAAUGGGUCCUUAGGUUCGUUAGUUCAAAGUUGGGAGCUAAAAUGUCAUUUUAGCCUAAAUAUGACCUAUAACAACCCAAUGAGCCUUAAAUGUGCGUAAAUAGAUUGGAAUGAGUCUUGGAAACUUAAAACUAAGCAUAUUAAUCAUGUAAAUGGUUUAAAAUGAGUCCUUAGGUUCUUUAGUUCAAAGUUGGGAGCGAAAAUGCCUCAUUUUAGCCUAAAUAUGACCUAUAACGGACAAACAAGUCUCAAAUGUGUUGGAAAGUUAAAACUAAUCAUAUGAAUCAUGUAGUCAGUUUGAAAUGAGUUCUUAGGGAAGAAAUUUUGGCUAAAAGGAACUUGAUUCAGCCAAUUCUAUGUCAAUUUUUUAAGUCAAAAUAAAGAAUAAAGCUGACUAGAUAGAAGCAUACAAGCAAAUCAACCCAACAAGCAUCUACAGGGUGGAUGGAAUACCAUUUAAAUUUGCUGUCAAUUUGCGGCCGUCCAGAUUUAAAUGAUAAAACAGGUUCACCAAUUGUAGAAGCCUUCUCAAAUCUCCGGUAGCACAUUUCUAUAAGAUGCAUUGGAGCAUCAGAAACCGAUUACAAAGUACACCUUCUGCAACUAAAAGAUUUGAAGUACAAAAUGACACAUAGCCCAUACAACAAUACAGAUAAUAGAUAAGCAAUUAAGCAUGCACAAAACCACAAACUGCACCAUCACCAACAGGUAAUAAUUUAAUCUGACAUAUAUUCUAUCUGAUAAAUUGAUGGUAACCUCAUCCAAUGAUCCUAACUGCUAAUUUGGAAACCAUAAUAUGUGGAUGUAACAGUGACGAGCUUAUACUGAAGUUUUCAAGGAAAGUCUGAUGCCAAUGUCCACAUUAAUGUUUGUUCACCUGUAAGUCUGACCUUCUUUCUAAAUUUUCAUUACCAUUCAAUAACACCUCUAAAGUGGUAUGGAUGGUAAUACAAAUAUUACCGCCUACUAAUUAAUUGGGCCAUUGAUGUUAUGAAAAAAACCAAAGAAGGGUACUAACCAACCUUCAGUUUGUAUGUGAGAAUGAAGUCCAGUUCCUUGUUCAAACGGACAGCAGGAGGCUGCUUACUCAGAUCAAGUCCAGGCCUAUCUGGGCGCGUAACUCCUGCAGAGCUCACAUGGACGAAUCUACACAUAAUGCAAAAAAGAAAAUUAAAGAUUUGAAAGAAAACAGGCUUAUUAGAUAUAAGCUAUAAAAAUCAAAAGUUUAAAGUUAUAGACCUUGGUGUAAUUGGUUCCUGCAUGUAUGCCCGUACAGCUGACAGAGGAAGCUGGAAAGGGCCCUCCACUAGUAGAAAAAUAUUGAUUUGAGGCGUCACUUUUAUAUUGAUUUGCGGCGUUUUAGGCGUAGCAGCAAAUAGAGUGGCAGCAAAUGAAUGGUAUUGAUUUGCGGCGUUUUUUAACGCCUCAAAUCAAUCAUUCAUUUGCGGCGCUAUUAAAAAAAAACGCCUCAAAUUAUAUGAAUUCUAUAGCGGCGUUUCUACCUGAACGCCUCAAACUUUGGUAAAAUUGCGGGAGUUUAUACGCCGCAAAUAAUUUGUAAUUUUUUUUUAAUAAAUAAUAUAUUUUUUGUGAACUAAACAAUCCCAAAAAUAUAAAACCUGUACUCACGCCACAUUUAUACAACGUUCAAAAGUGUCAUCAACUAUCAAUAACUUCCAAGAAACUUUGAUUUUUACAUAUAAGUUAACCAUCAUAUGUUUACAAAAUAAACCACCUAAAUAGUUUCAAGUCUAUAAUAAAUAUAUCUUUUACACUUCACACGUUACAAAAUUGCACCAAAAAUAUAAUAAGGCAAUUAUAUAUGAUUUUAAUAGCAUGAAACAUCCACAAAAAGAGAUCGAUGAAGCGUUAAUUACACACAAUGUUCGGUGAAGUAUGAUGCCCAUUUGUCUCGUAUUUCAUCAAUUUGCUCAUCGGUGAAAGGAUCUCCACUCAUUGAUGUGCAAACCUAACAAAAUAAUAUAUACAUCAUAAAAUUAGUUAUCUUCGGUUAGAUUCAAUACUGAUGCCCAUGUCAAGUUGUCAACUUAUCCAGUGUCUCUAGUAACGGGAUAAAGCAGAAUGUGCGACGAUGUUAUGCUGAAAAGCUCUAGUUUCAUGCAAGAAUGAAAUGCUUGACAUAUGAUUUUACCAUUUGUCAGAGGAUUUAGCAAAGAUUCAUAUUUGCUGUUAUAGUUUCUGUAGUUUUCCAGCCUGUUUAUAGUUAGGUGUUCUGUGUGCCUUACGGUUAUAAACCCUUUAAAUGUUUAAUAUACUUAGUAUUAGGUUACUUAGACUCAUUCCCAUCUACUUUGGUCAAGUUAUGCACGUUUAAGGCUUUAAUGAUCAUUAUAGGUCAUAUUUUGACCGUUAUAGUCGUUUUUGCUCCCAACUCUAACCCGUGAACUUAGAUUGGUAUUCU